rnacentral:rRNA from 1 species
UACGGGGGGAGCAAGCGUUGUUCGGAUUUACUGGGCGUAAAGGGCGCGUAGGCGGCCUCCGCAAGUCGACUGUGAAAUCUCCGGGCUUAACCCGGAACGGUCAGCCGAUACUGCGGGGCUAGAGUGCAGGAAGGGGCAACUGGAAUUCUCGGUGUAGCGGUGAAAUGCGUAGAUAUCGAGAGGAACACCUGCGGCGAAGGCGGGUUGCUGGGCUGACACUGACGCUGAUGCGCGAAAGCUAGGGG